UCCCACUUUUUAAUCAUUAGAUGGCGUGGUCACUCACACAAAGACCAAACUCAGCACUGCGGAGGUGGAAGCUGCGGAAAAGGGCAGCCUGAAUUCUCCCCGAGUCUGUGUGCUGCGCCGUGCUGGCAGGAUCAACAUACCGCAGGCCCCUGAUGCUGCACUAAGACAGAAGCAAGAUCUCCACAGCCUGAGAGGCAGUAUGGGUUCUGCUCAUAGGCCAGGUACAAUGAUGACCCACCAGCCAAUUGGCAAUGGCCUCACCUCCCAUCACGCAUUAGGUCAUAGGAGACACUCUGGGAUUUUGAGAAACACUCAAGGCACGCAAAAAAACAUCUUGCCCUUCAGACCACAGACCAGACCACAGUUUGCCCAG
rnacentral:lncRNA from 1 species